GCGGGUAAAUAGGGGUUACCAGGGAGCGAUUUGAAGUCGUUUCUUUCUUCCGUGGAGAAGAUGCCUGCU
rnacentral:tRNA from 1 species